rnacentral:lncRNA from 1 species
GGGGAUUCUCGAACGAUUCUCCGUCGCCUUCUGUCAACUCAGUUCAGCUCGUUUUUGUUUUGAAAGUUUCUGUAUCGUUGGUUGUUAGAAAGUUCGAGGUGAAUCGAGUGGUAAAUCGAAAGUUAUAUUGAUAUCAGCGGGUCACAUCUUCAUAGAAUCGACGUUUUGGGUAAUUUUUCCAACGUCUUGGGCCUGAUUUCGGCGAGAUUUCAGACUCUAGGGUUUCUGUCAUUCGGAGCUAAGGGUUUUCUGUGAAAUCAAAGGCCGUUCUUCUCCGGUUGCGAAGAAGUGGGGUAAAUCUGUUCUCACUCUUAGUUGAAAGGAUUUUUCAUGUGGUUUUUGAUACAACUUUUAUAUUCCAAACUGUUCAUAGAGACUGUUUUUACCUUAAUUUCACUGAUAUUCAUGAUAUUAAACAUGAGUGUUAAUAAUACCCUUUCUACCGAUUCUACGAGCCCUCUUUUUGUUUAUUCUUCUGAUGUUCCUGGAGUAUCACUCGUUCCUACUCCAUUUUUGGGUAGUGGUUAUGGG